ensembl:lncRNA
CUGCUAUGACCUGAUUACAGCACAGCACGAGCGAACAGGGGUGGCAUAAAGUAGCCAAACUAAGGUGGAUCCGGCGCUUUUAGUAGAGCGGUUUUCUUUCUGACAUCCCUCAGCAACAGCUCGAGGGCAGUCAAAGUGUAGCUGCACUUCCGAUGCCCAUAUUUGGCAAGCCUCAGCGAAGCGUGAGUGCAGGAAAGCAUCUUGGAGGAAAAUAUGAUAGCUCUUCUCUGUCGUGUAACAAAAGGAAAAGAGCCAAACGUCUUUUUUUCUCCCAGAAGUUGAAAGUGUAUUUGUGUUGACAAACCACAGCCCUAUUUGCGUUGAUCCGCAGGAACUCCCAGCGCAGGAGAGACACGCAGGAAAAUAAACAAUUCCACAUCACAAACUGCCAAGAGCCACAGUUACCAUAGAGACGCUCCAUCCCUAACAGCAAGACACCCUUGGCUGUAAGGCUCACUAGACUCCGAAGAGACAGACACUGGUGAGCCAGCCCAUCGCACCUCAGGCAUGGAUGGAGGGAGGGAGAGGAGAAAGGGAAACGGAGGGAGGUUUAUUUGGCCCCAUCCAAACUGUUCCCUUGGCAGCCAGCGCC